rnacentral:rRNA from 1 species
AUUGAACGCUGGCGGCAGGCCUAACACAUGCAAGUCGAACGAGUGGCGGACGGGUGAGUAAUGUCUGGGAAACUGCCUGAUGGAGGGGGAUAACUACUGGAAACGGUAGCUAAUAACGCAUACCAUCGGAUGUGCCCAGAUGGGAUUAGCUAGUUGGUGGGGUAAAGGCUCACCUAGGCGACGAUCCCUAGAUGGUCUGAGAGGAUGACCAGCCACACUGGAACUGAGACACGGUCCAGACUCCUCCGGGAGGCAGCAGUGGGGAAGAUUGCACAAUGGGCUAAAGCCUGAUGCAGCCAUGCCGCGUGUAUUAAGAAGGCCUUCGGAUUGUAAAGUACGUUCAGCUGGGAGGCGUUACCCGCAGAAGAAGCACCGGCUAACUCCGUGCCAGCAGCCGCGGUAAUUC